GAUUAUCGAAGAUUAGCUUAAUUCAUAUC
rnacentral:ncRNA from 1 species